GACAGAGGGUGCAAACGUUGUUCGGAAUCACUGGGCGUAAAGCGCGUGUAGGCGGCUUGGAAAGUCGGGCGUGAAAUCCCGGGGCUCAACCCCGGAAGUGCACUCGAAACUUCCUAGCUAGAGUCCUGGAGAGGAAGGUGGAAUACUUGGUGUAGAGGUGAAAUUCGUAGAUAUCAAGUAGAACACCGGUGGCGAAGGCGGCCUUCUGGACAGUGACUGACGCUGAGACGCGAAAGCGUGGGGAGCAAACAGG
rnacentral:rRNA from 1 species